GCAGGAUUAGCUCAGUAUGGUAGAGCGUUACAUGUGUAUAUAUGUAAAGUCCCUGGUUCAAUUCCAGGAUCCUUAA
rnacentral:tRNA from 1 species